UGAAUACGAGAUGCUACGGCGUCGAAGCAGUCUAUGUCAUACUUCCAAGAAAAGCUCGCACUGUCAUAAACAAAUAAUGCCUGUACCAUAACCGACACAGGUGGGUAGGUAGAGUAUACUAAGGGGCGCGAGAUAACUCUCUCUAAGGAACUCGGCAAAAUGACUCCGUAACUUCGGGAGAAGGAGUGCCUUAUUUAUAAGGUUGCAAUAACAAGAUCCAAGCAACUGUUUAUCAAAAACACAGGUCUCCGCUAAGUCGUAAGACGAUGUAUGGGGGCUGACGCCUGCCCAGUGCCAGAAGGUUAAAGAAGUUGGUUAGCAUUCGCGAAGCUGAUAACUGAAGCCCUGGUGAACGGCGGCCGUAACGAUAACGGUCCUAAGGUAGCGAAAUUCCUUGUCGGGUAAGUUCCGACCCGCACGAAAGGCGUAAUGAUUUGGAUACUGUCUCGGAGAGGGGCUCGGUGAAAUAGACUUGUCUGUGAAGAUGCGGACUACCUGCACCAGGACAGAAAGACCCUAUGAAGCUUUACUGUAACUUGAGAUUGAAAUUGGACUUUACUUGCGCAGUAUAGGUGGGAGGCGUUGAUAAUAUUCUUGCGGGAUUAUUUGAGCCAUCAGUGAGAUACCACUCUUGUAAUGUUAGAUUUCUAACUUUGUAUCAUUAUCUGGUCAAAGGACAGUUUCAGGCGGGCAGUUUGACUGGGGCGGUCGCCUCCUAAACGGUAACGGAGGCGCACAAAGGUUUCCUCUGAACGGGUAGAAAUCGUAUCUAGAGUGUAAAGGCAUAAGGAAGCUUGACUGUGAGACCUACAAGUCGAGCAGGGACGAAAGUCGGUCUUAGUGAUCUGACGGUGCUGAGUGGAAAGGCCGUCACUCAACGGAUAAAAGUUACUCUAGGAUAACAGGCUGAUCUCCCCCAAGAGUUCACAUCGACGGGGAGGUUUGGCACCUCGAUGUCGGCUCAUCGCAUCCUGGGGCGGUAGUACGUCCCAAGGGUUGGGCUGUUCGCCCAUGAAAGCGGUACGCGAGCUGGGUUCAGAACGUCGUGAGACAGUUCGGUCCAUAUCCGGUGUAGGCGUUAGAAUAUUGAGAGGAGCCUUCUUUAGUACGAGAGGACCAAGAAGGACAUACCUCUGGUGUACCAGUUAUCGUGCCAACGGUAAACGCUGGGUAGCUAUGUAUGGAGUGGAUAACCGCUGAAAGCAUCUAAGUGGGAAGCCCACCUCAAGAUAAGUAUUCU
rnacentral:rRNA from 1 species